rnacentral:rRNA from 1 species
UACGUAGGGUGCAAGCGUUGUCCGGAAUUAUUGGGCGUAAAGAGCUCGUAGGCGGUCUGUCGCGUCUGCUGUGAAAACUCGGGGCUUAACCCCGGGCCUGCAGUGGGUACGGGCAGACUAGAGUGCGGUAGGGGAGACUGGAAUUCCUGGUGUAGCGGUGAAAUGCGCAGAUAUCAGGAGGAACACCGAUGGCGAAGGCAGCUCGCUGGGACGGUACUGACGCUGAGGCGACGAAAGCGUGGGGAGCAAACAGG